GAUGAACGCUAGCUACAGGCUUAACACAUGCAAGUCGAGGGGAAACGAUAUUGGAAGCUUGCUUCCGAUAGGCGUCGACCGGCGCACGGGUGAGUAACGCGUAUCCAACCUGCCCACCACUUGGGAAUAACCUUGCGAAAGUAAGACUAAUGCCCAAUGAUAUCUCUAGAAGACAUCUGAAAGAGAUUAAAGAUUUAUCGGUGAUGGAUGGGGAUGCGUCUGAUUAGCUUGUUGGCGGGGUAACGGCCCACCAAGGCGACGAUCAGUAGGGGUUCUGAGAGGAAGGUCCCCCACAUUGGAACUGAGACACGGUCCAAACUCCUACGGGAGGCAGCAGUGAGGAAUAUUGGUCAAUGGGCGAGAGCCUGAACCAGCCAAGUAGCGUGCAGGAUGACGGCCCUAUGGGUUGUAACCUGCUUUUAUAAGGGAAUAAAGUGAGCCUCGUGAGGCUUUUUGCAUGUACCUUAUGAAUAAGGACCGGCUAAUUCCGUGCCAGCAGCCGCAGUAA
rnacentral:rRNA from 1 species